CCAUCUCCCCAGCAGCUCUUUGUGGCUGGCAUUGCUUUGGAGCCUGAAUCCCUCACCCAGUGUUUGUGCCAAGACUUUCAUUGCAAUAGUCCUGAUUAGGUGGCAGCCAUUGAAGGAGAUGAAAAUGACAGCUUUGGAGCAGUAUCGUCAUGGAGCAUGAUGACUCUUGACAGCAGGAGACACAUUCACCUCCUGAAGGCUAUGGAGCACCUGUGCCUGAACAACAGACAAGGACCCAGUGGUUUCAGGUGGAAAUUCUGUUCUCCACUAGCUCCUGCUCUCCUCUGGACUUCAGUGCUCAGGAAAGCCACUGCACUCCUGUGA
rnacentral:lncRNA from 14 species